UACGGGGGGAGCAAGCGUUGUUCGGAUUUACUGGGCGUAAAGGGCGCGUAGGCGGUCAGCACAAGUCAGUUGUGAAAUCUCCGGGCUUAACUCGGAAAGGUCAACUGAUACUGUGCGACUAGAGUGCAGAAGGGGCAACUGGAAUUCUCGGUGUAGCGGUGAAAUGCGUAGAUAUCGAGAGGAACACCUGCGGCGAAGGCGGGUGCUGGGCUGACACUGACGCUGAUGCGCGAAAGCGUGGGGAGCAAACAGG
rnacentral:rRNA from 1 species